CUGUGUUCUCACCGACGCUCCAGAGAUAAGGAUGGUCUGUAUCGCCAUCUGCAGGCAGCUCAGCUGAACUGCAGCUGGGCAGAGCUGGGAUACUCUCAGCCUGAUGAGCUGGAGCUGAGGUUGAAGGACUCCUGGCUGGUGUUGGAUCUGCGUCGCUGUCGCUCUGUGGUGGUUCUUUCCUCACGCCUUCUCUGGGGACAGAGUAGCCAUCGAACCCCACAUCCUCCGGGCGGAGCUGCAGCAGCGGGGGCCAAUCAGCUGGACUUGACGUGGCUGACCAGGGUCCCUCUCGUACGGCCUCCAGCAUGUAGGGGAUGAUGGAGUAGUUCCAGAGGUCAGUGAACCAAACCCUGGAUCCCUUCACGUCCAUGGGACAGGACAAGAAGAGACGAGGUCCUGCACACCACAGAGCAAAGAGGAAGCGGUUGAGGUGGUGCCAAACCCGCGGGAUCCAGUCGAUGAUCUUCACCAGCUCCAUGUUGCGCGUUCGGCUGCCGAUCUCCGUCUCGAUCAGCUUCCUCCUCAGGUAGCGACCAAGAAAGCCUUUCACCGGCUCCAUGUGGUUGGCACACAGCACCCACCUGAUCAGAGAACACACAGGUGGUGAUUGGAGAUGCUGACUGGCCAGCAGCUGAUCAUGCCAGCUGUAAAAGGAUGUCUGCGUGAGAUGUCUUCCUCUCUGACUUCCAGACAGACCAUGCUGUCAUGUCGUGUCUUGUUAAAUUUGACUGUUUGAAGUGUUGAAGCUUUGUUAAAUCAUUAGGAAUAAAGAAACCUUUUUUAUAUAGUGUAGUCCUAAAAGGUCCAAUUUUAAAAUGCCUAGAAAUGCUAGAAAUGGCCCAAUUGUACCCUGUUGAUACAUGUAGUAGUAUAGUUUGUCAAAAAAUAGAAAAAAAAACACACACUAUGGGAUAUCCAAAAUUUAACCCUUCAAAUAAAGUCAUUCUGUCGACCAAUUUGGAGUCGAAGUCACGGCUGCAUCACUGGCAGUUGCGUGUGCAGACUGGUGGUAAAAAAAUACGGCCUUUUUAAAAAAAUAAAUCAUUUCAACAACCUAAAAAGUCAAACCUGUUACCUCAUCUGUAUUGUGGUUAGUUCUGUUUAUGUUUACCUUGAAAAGGCGCCGGACCACCCCGUCCAGGACGUCCCAUUUGGUUUUACCACUCACACCGAUGCAACCAAUCAGAAAAUGACGAGGCCGGCCCUCCUGUCAAAUAAAAAACAAGACUGGUUUUAGACACCAGAAUUCUUCAGGCUGACGACCAUCUUCACGUGUCGACCCUCCUUCCUCAUCCCUCCCUCUCCACCGGUGUCGUCCAGCAGCAUGUCUGAAUAGCAAUGCAGAAUAAAGUCAGAAAAGGUUUCUACAUUUCCAUGGAAAAUGCUAAUGUCAAUGUCUGAUUUAGGUGUUUCUCUUUCUAUACUGUAUGUCCCAGCUGUUGAAUCCUAUUCAGUAUCUGGUAUAGAUCUACCAGGAACUGUGUAGGUCCUGUGACAUCAGCUCUGUCUUACC